GUUCUUUCCAUGAGAGAUCUGGAGACUUGGUGAAGGAGAUAUGAGGAACAGCCACCUCCCAAUGUUGAUAUAAAUGCGAAACCUCCAUAGGCAGGUAGACUAAGAGAACAAUGUUUCCUUUGGAGUCCCAAAACAGGUCUGUUAGUGUAAUGCAUAUUUCUACCAGGCUGAAUAGUUCUUCUUCAUAGUAUGGGUCAGGACCUGGGGUGCUCUUGAACCACAGGGUGCAAUGUAAUUAGCUCCCGGGCUGUUGGUAGUAGGAUGACCCUCAACGGGUAGGACAACUGUGGCAAGAGGCCCCCCUUUGUUCCCUGUAGCCACUGCCAUGACAUGGGUGUUACACACAGGUUUGCCG